ACACUACCAGCUCCGCGUGUUUCCCGCGUUCCUUCGAUCCCUCGUAGUACCUCUCCUGCCAAUCCUGCAACGGAUCAAAUCCCCCAACAAACACAAUGGUCGCCGGAAAAUCCACCCCCGAAAUAUCCACCGCGUUCGGCCCGAACACAUUCACCACUGGGUGGUCCCGAUUCCGACCCUUCCGGCAAAAACGUUUUCCACAUCAGUCCGUGAGCUCUAUGUUCACCAGCGGCACACUCUUCAGUCUGGUCUUCCGAUUCCGUCCGCUCCUCCGCCGAAAAACGGCUGAAUCGCCAACAUUCCGACCACUUUCAGAUCCCGAAACUCGUGCCCGCUCGCUCUGAUCGCCACGUGGUGCACUAUGUUCCCGCCGGCGCUGUCCCCUGCCAGAAAACACUGCCCGAGAUUCACGCCCUCGAACAAGCUGCUUUGACUGUCGUUGAUGAACUUGAGGACGUCGAAACACUGCACGGAUACCGAUUCUCCGGCGCGAGGCGGUAGUUGACGGAGAGGACGACGGCGGGGAGCUCGCGAGCGAGGCGUUCAAGAAGGGAGUGGAAGCUCGGUCGCACCAGAGACUGUCAGGAAGAAGCUCAAGAGGACCGUCAAGGAAAGAUUUCCCAGAGCUUUCGACGCCGAUAUCG
rnacentral:lncRNA from 1 species